AUGAACGCUGGCGGCGUGCCUAAUACAUGCAAGUCGAGCGAACGGACGAGAAGCUUGCUUCUCUGAUGUUAGCGGCGGACGGGUGAGUAACACGUGGAUAACCUACCUAUAAGACUGGGAUAACUUCGGGAAACCGUAGCUAAUACCGGAUAAUAUUUUGAACCGCAUGGUUCAAAAGUGAAAGACGGUCUUGCCGUCACUUAUAGAUGGAUCCGCGCUGCAUUAGCUAGUUGGUAAGGUAACGGCUUACCAAGGCAACGAUGCAUAGCCGACCUGAGAGGGUGAUCGGCCACACUGGAACUGAGACACGGUCCAGACUCCUACGGGAGGCAGCAGUAGGGAAUCUUCCGCAAUGGGCGAAAGCCUGACGGAGCAACGCCGCGUGAGUGAUGAAGGUCUUCGGAUCGUAAAACUCUGUUAUUAGGGAAGAACAUAUGUGUAAGUAACUGUGCACAUCUUGACGGUACCUAAUCAGAAAGCCACGGCUAACUACGUG
rnacentral:rRNA from 1 species